CCUACGGGUGGCAGCAGUGAGGAAUAUUGGUCAAUGGACGCAAGUCUGAACCAGCCAUGCCGCGUGCAGGAAGACGGCUCUAUGAGUUGUAAACUGCUUUUGUACGAGGGUAAACGCAGAUACGCGUAUCUGUCUGAAAGUAUCGUACGAAUAAGGAUCGGCUAACUCCGUGCCAGCAGCCGCGGUAAUACGGAGGAUUCAAGCGUUAUCCGGAUUUAUUGGGUGUAAAGGGUGCGUAGGCGGUCGGAUAAGUUAGAGGUGAAAUCCCGGGGCUCAACUUCGGAAUGGCCUCUGAUACUGUGCGGCUAGAGAGUAGUAGCGGUAGGCGGAAUGUAUGGUGUAGCGGUGAAAUGCUUAGAGAUCAUGCAGAACACCGAUGGCGAAGGCAGCUUACCAGGCUACUUCUGACGUUGAGGCACGAAAGCGUGGGGAGCAAACAGGAUUAGAUACCCCGGUAGUC
rnacentral:rRNA from 1 species